UUCGAACUAGAAGCUGAAGUUGCAAAACUUAAGAAAAUAAACAGAGAAUUGGAAAGAAAACAGGUAUGCUGUCAUUCUGCACCACAUCCUUAUCACUUAUCAGUAAAAUGUAUACAAAGGUUUUGGUCUUCUCUGAUUACAAUUGGUUUGUUACAGGCAGAAAUUAAGGAAAUGCAGAAAAACAAGGAUUCAGACUCUGCAUGCCAGCCAAGGGUAAGUAAAAUACAAUGCUUGAGAAGGACACUUACAGGACCAUGGUAGUGGUAGACAAUGUGAGUAGUUGUUUCUGAGUAACAGAUAUCCGAAGGAGAAAAUCAUUGUUGUGUCAUAAGAACCGGGGUAUGUUUGUGAACUGUGAGGUAAUUGCAGUUCAACACUAGAUAGGAUGGUAGCUAGCUAUUAUUAGUUUUAUGUAUAGGAACUAGGAGUGGUGAGUUGUACAUUAUUAAACAUGUAUAUUCAAAUAAUGAAUUAUUAUAUGUGCUUGAA